UUUUCCUACGGGGGGCAGCAGUGGGGAAUAUUGGGCAAUGGAGGAAACUCUUACCCAGCAAUGCCGCGUGAAUGAAGGAGGUCUUCGGAUUGUAAAGUUCUUUAAUUGGGGACGAAAAAAAUGACGGUACCCAAGGAAUAAGCCCCGGCUAACUACGUGCCAGCAGCCGCGGCAAUACGUAGGGGGCAAGCGUUGUUCGGAAUGACUGGGCGUAAAGGGUGCGUAGGCGGUGUAGCAAGUUAGAAGUGAAAUACC
rnacentral:rRNA from 1 species